rnacentral:rRNA from 1 species
AUUGAACGCUGGCGGCAGGCCUAACACAUGCAAGUCGAGCGGAUGAAGGGAGCUUGCUCCUGGAUUCAGCGGCGGACGGGUGAGUAAUGCCUAGGAAUCUGCCUGGUAGUGGGGGAUAACGUCCGGAAACGGGCGCUAUUACCGCAUACGUCCUGAGGGAGAAAGUGGGGGAUCUUCGGACCUCACGCUAUCAGAUGAGCCUAGGUCGGAUUAGCUAGUUGGUGGGGUAAAGGCCUACCAAGGCGACGAUCCGUAACUGGUCUGAGAGGAUGAUCAGUCACACUGGAACUGAGACACGGUCCAGACUCCUACGGGAGGCAGCAGUGGGGAAUAUUGGACAAUGGGCGAAAGCCUGAUCCAGCCACGCCGCGUGUGUGAAGAAGGUCUUCGGAUUGUAAAGCACUUUAAGUUGGGAGGAAGGGCAGUAAGUUAAUACCUUGCUGUUUUGACGUUACCAACAGAAUAAGCACCGGCUAACUUCGUG